UAUAAAAACAUAUAUUUCAAAACAUUCCAUCAUGAAUGCCAAUUGGUACAAGAACUGCAAUAAAUAAUAAUAAAUUGCGAGCCACUAGUCUCCAAUCAUUUGGUACUGCAUAUGGUGCUAAUACUUGAGUUAAUCUAUACAUAUAAAAGAAAUUAAAUACUUACUUCGUGACUUGCACAUAUAAAGAUGAAUGAUGUAACUAAAAGAUUUAAUACUGGAAAUCUUGGCAAUAAAACUAAUACACCAUGCGAAUCUGCUGCCAACCAAAUGUGACCUUGUGCGACUAGAGUUUCUAAGCUGAUGCGACCUAAACCAGUCAAAAGAGCUGAAUGCUUACCACGUAAUGCUAAUGAUGCAUUUCUAAGUGCAAUGUAACCUAUAAUCUGUAAUUAAAAAAUUAAAAUUUAAUUGUUUGAAAAUAAAUUUGAAAAUAAAUUAUAAUUUAUAAAUUAUUACUGGAA